UAAGUGUCUCUCGCGCAAACUAUUCAGUUUAGAAAAAAAUGAUAUUAGAAACCUCAAUAUCAUUUUUGAAGACCUAUCCAUAGACACCCUACUCGUAUGGGUUUGAUGAAUUUUUUUUUAUUUAUUUUAGUUCUAAGACGUAUUAAAAAAAAACUACUUACUAAAUCUCGUUCAAACCAAUUUUCGGUGGAAGUUUGUAUGGUAAUGUACAUCAUAUAUUUUUUCAUUUUAUCAUUCUCUUAUUUUAGAAGUUACAGGGGGGGGGGGGGGCACACAUUUUACCACUUUGGAAGUUUCUCUCGCGCAAACUAUUCAGUUUAGAAAAAAAAUGAUAUUAGAAACCUCAAUAUCAUUUUUGAAGACCUAUCCAUAGAUCAAACACGUAUGGGUUGGAUGAAAAAAAUUUUUGAGUUUCAGUUCCAAGUAUGGGGAGCCCCCAUAAUUUAUUGUUUUUUUUAUAUUUUUGUGUGAAAAUCUUAAUGCGGUUCACAGAAUACAUCUACUUACCAAGUUUCAACAGUAUAGUUCUUAUAGUUUCAGAGAAUUAAUUAAAAAUAUUCUGUGACAUACGGACGGACAGACAGACAGACAUGACAAAUCUAUAAGGGUUCCGUUUUUUGCCAUUUGGCUACGGAACCCUAAAAACGGGACCCUAUUACUAAGACUCCGCUGUCCGUCUGUCUGCCCGUCUGUCUGUCUGUCACCAGGCUGUAUCUCAUGAACCGUUAUCGCUAGACAGUUGAAAUUUUCACAGAUGAUGUAUUUCUGUUGCCGCUAUAACAACAAAUACUAACGACAGAAUAAAAUAAAUAUUUAAGUGGGGCUCCCAUACAACAAACGUGAUUUAUUGCCGUUUUUGGCAUAAUGGUACGGAACCCUACGUGAGCGAGUCCGACGCGCACUUGACCGGUUUUUAAAUUAAAAUGAAUUCUUGUAAAAACUAUACACGGCUAUUAUUUAAAUAAAUUAAAAGUUUUUGACCAAAUCCACCAACACUGUCCGCAAUCACGUCUACUGCAUCUGAUACCGAUCCUAUCAU